UCCGUAGGUGAACCUGCGGAAGGAUCAUUAACAAAUUCCAAAACUCGUCUUCUUGGAGCCUCGUGCUCCAAGGAUGUACAAACACUUACAUUUACUUUACAAUAACAACAAAGGAACAUAACCAAAAGCUUCAUAUUAAAACAACUUUUAACAAUGGAUCUCUUGGCUCUUGCAACGAUGAAGAACGCAGCGAACUGCGAAACGUAAUGUGACCUGCACUCUUCGUGAAUCAUCCAAUCUUUGAACGCAACUUGCACCGGGUGAUGCAUGUCUCCCGGUAUACUUGUUUGAGUAUCUGAAACACUCUCACUCCCCCCUCGGGGCGGCGUGGACUGGUUGAGAUUCUAGCCUUUGCGGGCUAGUCUCUUGAAAGAUACGUGUCUCGCUUUGUAGCAAUGCAAGCGCGGACCAUCUCAUACUGAGAAGGUGUGACUAUUGGGAUAACAUCCUAACAAUCGUCCGCCUUUUCACUUUCCCUUUAUCGGUGUGAAAAAGUAUGUCGAAGGCUCCUUUGGGACACGGAACGGGGGAUAGGGGAACAGGGGGCACCGGAAAGGUGGUUUGGCUUCGGAUCCACGGUUACUCUUGGCCUUACGGGGUAAGGGGGGGUGGACCGGUUCUCUGGGGGAUCUCAAAUCAAGUAAGGGAUACCCGCUGAACUUAA
rnacentral:rRNA from 1 species